rnacentral:rRNA from 1 species
AUACGGAAGGUCCGGGCGUCAUCCGGAUUUAUUGGGUUUAAAGGGAGCGCAGGCGGAGAUGCAAGCGUGACGUCAAAUUUCGGGGCUCAACCCCGUCUCGCGUCGCGAACUGCGUCCCUUGGUUGCGGGAAGGGGAGGCGGAACUCGUGGUGUAGCGGUGAAAUGCAUAGAUAUCACGAAGAACUCCGAUCGCGAAGGCAGCCUUCCGGCCCGUCAACGACGCUCAUGCUCGAAGGUGCGGGUAUCAAACAGGAUUAGAUACCCUGGUAGUCCGCACAGUAAACGAUGGACACCCGCGGUUUGGCCUGUAUGGCUGAGCCGCCAAGCGAAAGCGUUAAGUGUCCCACCUGGGGAGUACGCCGGCAACGGUGAAACUCAAAUGAAUUGACGGGG